GUGGGGAAUAUUGGACAAUGGGCGCAAGCCUGAUCCAGCCAUGCCGCGUGAGUGAUGAAGGCCUUAGGGUUGUAAAGCUCUUUCACCGGUGAAGAUAAUGACGGUAACCGGAGAAGAAGCCCCGGCUAACUUCGUGCCAGCAGCCGCGGUAAUACGAAGGGGGCUAGCGUUGUUCGGAUUUACUGGGCGUAAAGCGCACGUAGGCGGAUUGGUCAGUUAGAGGUGAAAUCCUGGAGCUCAACUCCAGAACUGCCUUUAAUACUGCCAGUCUAGAGUCCAGAAGAGGUGAGUGGAACUCCUAGUGUAGAGGUGGAAUUCGUAGAUAUUAGGAAGAACACCAGUGGCGAAGGCGGCUCACUGGUCUGGUACUGACGCUGAGGUGCGAAAGCGUGGGGAGCAAACAGGAUUAGAAACCCUUGUAGUCC
rnacentral:rRNA from 1 species